rnacentral:rRNA from 1 species
UACGUAGGCAGCGAGCGUUGUUCGGAGUUACUGGGCGUAAAGGGUGUGUAGGCGGUUCUCUAAGUUUGGUGUGAAAUCUCCCGGCUCAACCGGGAGGGUGCGCCGAAAACUGGGGGACUCGAGUGCGGGAUGGGAGAGUAGAAUUCCUGGUGUAGCGGUGAAAUGCGUAGAUAUCAGGAGGAACACCGGUGGCGAAGGCGGGACUCUGGGCCGAUACUGACGCUGAGGAGCGAAAGCGUGGGGAGCAAACAGG